AGGGAGUUUGAUCCUGGCUCAGGACGAACGCUGGCGGCGUGCCUAACACAUGCAAGUCGAACGGAACUACUAGGAAGGAUCUCUUCGGAGAAACGGAAUUUUAGUUUAGUGGCGGACGGGUGAGUAACGCGUGAGUAACCUGCCUUUGAGAGGGGAAUAACGUUCUGAAAAGAACGCUAAUACCGCAUAACAUAUAUUGAUCGCAUGGUCGGUAUAUCAAAGAUUUAUCGCUCAAAGAUGGACUCGCGUCCGAUUAGCUUGUUGGCGGGGUAACGGCCCACCAAGGCGACGAUCGGUAGCCGGACUGAGAGGUUGAACGGCCACAUUGGGACUGAGACACGGCCCAGACUCCUACGGGAGGCAGCAGUGGGGGAUAUUGCGCAAUGGGGGCAACCCUGACGCAGCAACGCCGCGUGAAGGAUGAAGGUUUUCGGAUUGUAAACUUCUUUUGUCAGGGACGAAAUCUGACGGUACCUGACGAAUAAGCUCCGGCUAACUACGUGCCAGCAGCCGCGGUAAUACGUAGGGAGCAAGCGUUGUCCGGAUUUACUGGGUGUAAAGGGUGCGUAGGCGGCUAAGCAAGUCAGAUGUGAAAUCUAUGGGCUCAACCCAUAAACUGCAUUUGAAACUGCAUAGCUUGAGUGAAGUAGAGGCAGGCGGAAUUCCCCGUGUAGCGGUGAAAUGCGUAGAGAUGGGGAGGAACACCAGUGGCGAAGGCGGCCUGCUGGGCUUUAACUGACGCUGAGGCACGAAAGCGUGGGUAGCAAACAGGAUUAGAUACCCUGGUAGUCCCCU
rnacentral:rRNA from 1 species